rnacentral:lncRNA from 13 species
UUUGUCUUCAAUCUGGUUCAGUGGACACCUAUAAAGUAUUUGGAUUAUGAAUAUCCGUGGUGGUCACAUGUGUUAGGCUGGUUUACUGCGCUAUCUUCCAUGCUUUGCAUACCUGGAUAUAUGGUCUACGCUUGGAUGACUACACCAGGUGAUAAUAGAACGAAAUACAAAUUGUUAAUUCACAUAGAGGACGACGUUGCCACUCUGCGAACAAAGAUGGGUCAACCACCAGUCGAACUAACGCCUCUAUAAUUUUCAUUUUGAUAGGCAGCAUAAGUUCGCCUAGUCUGAUAAUACAAUUGUUUCCUAUCAUUCAGUAAAAUUGGUGAAUUAUAAGAAAUUAGUAAGGACUUUUUUCUGUAAAGUGAUGAAUUUAUUAUCUUUAAAAUUUGGGGAGUAGUUAAAAAAAUAUUGAAAUAAAGAUUUUAAAUAUUAUUUUGCUUAUGAAAGCAAAGCUAUUUGGGGGAAUAGAAAUAGGAUGGGAAAUACUCUAAAUGUUUCUUAAACUGAUCUUCAAUUUCAAAAAAUAAUUUUGAAAUGUAAUUCAUGAAAUAGAUUUUGCUAAUUUCUCUCAA